rnacentral:lncRNA from 1 species
UGAAGAAUUAAAAAAAAAUCAUUUUUCAAAUAAGGCUGUACCAUAAAAUGCUGAAAAAUGUGUGGUCUGAAUACUUGGUCUAAUGAUAUGUCUAAUGUAGACAAUAAUAUAGUAAAUUAAAUCUGGGUUUAUUGGGGUUAAAAUACAGCAGUUCUGCCAUUUGGACCACCAUGCUGUUGAUGUCAUGCAGCCCGUCAUGUGUUUUUACUUUUUCAUAACAAGUUGUGUUGGACAACAGAAUGUUUGUCACUGCGACAACUGUCUACAGACCAACUGUAAACCAGACUGUAGGCUAAAAUGUAAUUUUCACUAGGUUGUAAUAACCUCAAUAUUUUACCAGUUGGCCAACAGUGCUUCAUAGGCCUAGGCUACAGUAAAACUAGGCUACAGCAACUUAAGUGUGGUGACUUCACAUUAGUGUGUCAAUACAAUCAAUGCAGCGUAACUGCAUGGAAGCAGUCAUUUAAGAACUAGCGAAUUAGUGACAGAACUGCCAAUAUCAGACCAUCCAGUACAAGGCAGUAUACAGGACAAAUAUUGGGGAUAAAAACAUAUGUAGAUUAAAAUAUUUUGACUACUUACUAAAAAAUACACUAAAAUCAGAAGACCCCGUCUUUACAGUCCAUUCAGACCCAUUGCCCACAUUACAGCCUUAUUCUAAAAUGUAUUUAAAAAUGUUUUAUACAUUUGCCUGUUUUAUAAACCUGUUUUUGCUUUUUCAUUAUUGUAUACUGUGUAGAUUGAGGAAUUGUUUUAUUUAGUCAAAUUUAGAAUAAGGUAGUAAUGUAACAAUGUGGGAAAGUCAAGGGGUCUGAAUACUUUCUGAAUGCACUGUAUGGUGUCAUGUCGACAUUUAUUCUCUUAAAUACUGAAAGCAUUUUGCAUCCUGUCAUUUCCUUAAGUCCAGGACAUGUGCAUGUAAUGUCCUUGGCAAUGGAAUAACAGCUGCUAAACUCCAUGGUCUAUAAAACAUACAUAUGCAUUUGCUGGUCAAGACUUGCUAUUUCUUCUUCGCAGUAGCACGGGGCUUGCGUGGCCGGACAGUGGCAGCCGCAGGGGCUACAGGAUUAUGUGGACGACCAGUGGUAGUUGGUGAGGUGGGUGGCUUUGUACCGUUCUCCUGGUAGGAUCGGUGGAGGAAUAUUAGACGCUCUCUGCUGAUGCUGAGGGAAAUAAAAAGUAACAGCAUUAGAUACUGGUUCUAUAACAUGUCCAUUAUAAAACAUAUUUUAGCGAACUUAACC